rnacentral:rRNA from 12 species
UGUGGGGGCUCAAUACCCUCCUGCGAGUCCCGUCAGGUCUCGAAAGCUAAGCAGGGUCAGGCCUGGUUAGUGAUGGGAGACCACCUUGGAAUAACAGGGGCCGCUAGAC